UACGUAGGGGGCUAGCGUUGUCCGGAAUCAUUGGGCGUAAAGCGCGUGUAGGCGGUUCGGUAAGUCCGCUGUGAAAGUCGGGGGCUCAACCCUCGGAUGCCGGUGGAUACUGCCGGACUAGAGUACGGAAGAGGCGAGUGGAAUUCCUGGUGUAGCGGUGAAAUGCGCAGAUAUCAGGAGGAACACCAGUGGCGAAGGCGGCUCACUGGCCCGAUACUGACGCUGAGGCACGAAAGCGUGGGGAGCAAACAGG
rnacentral:rRNA from 1 species